AUUGAACGCUGGCGGCAGGCCUAACACAUGCAAGUCGAGCGAGCGGCGGACGGGUGAGUAAUGUAUGGGGACUGCCCGAUAGAGGGGGAUAACUACUGGAAACGGUGGCUAAUACCGCAUACUAUCGGAUAACCCAUAUGGGAUUAGCUAGUAGGUGGGGUAAAGGCUCACCUAGGCGACGAUCUCUCGCUGGUCUGAGCGGAUGAUCGGCCACACUGGGACUGGGACACGGCCCGGACUCCUACGGAGGCAGCAGUGGGGAAUAUUGGAAAAGGGGCGAAAGCCUGAGGCAGCCAUGCCGCGUGUAUGAAGAAGGCCUUGGGGUUGUAAAGUACUUUCAGCGGGGAGGCGUUACCCGAAGAAGAAGCAACGGCUAACUCCGUGCCAGCAGCCGCGGUAAUUC
rnacentral:rRNA from 1 species